rnacentral:misc_RNA from 1 species
UACGUAGGGGGCUAGCGUUGUCCGGAAUCAUUGGGCGUAAAGCGCGUGUAGGCGGUCCGGUAAGUCCGCUGUGAAAGUCGAGGGCUCAACCCUCGAAUGCCGGCGGAUACUGUCGGGCUUGAGUACGGAAGAGGCGAGUGGAAUUCCUGGUGUAGCGGUGAAAUGCGCAGAUAUCAGGAGGAACACCAAUUGCGAAGGCAGCUCGCUGGGACGUUACUGACGCUGAGACGCGAAAGCGUGGGGAGCAAACAGG